UGUACAAUGGAAGAAUAUACAAUUCCCUGAGUAAGUGUGUGCUGCAAAUCCAUCGCUUCACUUAAUGUCCCAGAGAAGAGAAGAAAGGGAAGGUACAGCAGAUGAAGUUUGUCUGGAAGUCCCUGUCUUUGCAGAGUGGGAUUGCAAUAUUUGAGAAGAAAAAAUUAAUCAUCAGACCAUUAUGUUCAUCUUCCACCAAGAAGAGAGAAAAUUUUUAUUUGAAACUCAAGGAAAAUUUUCUGCAAGCCUUGACUGGCCUGUCUCACAACAAGACACUGCAGCGCAGCAAUCCAAAGCCAGCAUGGAUUUAUGGCUGUGAAACAACCUCCUGGUUUUAGAUACCAGCUCUAUAAGUCAUCCAACCAUCCUCAGAAGCCACAGAAAAGGGAAAAGGGGAACUGAAGCCGAAAAGGAUGUCUAAGGCCACAGUCAUGACAGAGCUGCGCUUAGGUUACACGUAGAUUUAGGACUGAGAAAACCACAAACCCAAGGGCUUCAGGGACAAUUACUAUACAAAAGGCAUGCCAAGGGGGGCACAGAACUGCCCCAACAUUGCUCCCUCCAAACCUUGCUCCUUGACACCACCCAUGUAUGGAGGGACUAACCUGAUUUUCAUUUAUGCCUCAACAUAUGUUAUACAUGAUGUGAAAACUUCCUUUAGGUGCUGACAUCAUAGGAAGCCCAGUCUUCAAGUGACUUCAUUUGACAGACAAUGAGGGGAGAGAAACUUCCAUGAUUUGGCUUCAAGGGACUCCUGCAGCUGGGGUAGAACAUCGUCUUCCCAGGAAAAAACGCCAGAUAAAUUGGGCUUUUUUGAGGAGCUUUAGUACAUAAAAGCAGCUACCAGCACCAUACUCCUGGGGCUGCCAUUUUCUGGUUUUCUUGGACGAAGCAGGGGCUUGCCUGGAGCGUCAACUUUGCCCCUUCCUCACCUUUUUCUCUCUGCAAUGCUGCUUCUUCCCUGGCUGUCUGUCCUGUCCACACUGUUCCUCUCCUGCUUCACCAUCUCCCCGAUGGAGCCGGUCGCCAUGACAUCCCUGUGCUCCGCUAUUUGCCAUGGGGGCAGCUGCGGCCUGCAUGGUACCUGCUGUCGCUGCCAUCUUUCCGGCACUGCCCGGAGCCAGCCCUCAGCAGUCAGACCUCAGGAACCAGCCCUCGGGAACCAGCCGUCAGCAGCCGGCCCUGAGGAACCAGCCCUGAGGAACCAGCCGUCAGCAGCCAGCCGUCAGCAGCCAGCCUGUGUUGGUUGGUGAAGGCCAGGACCAGGCUGCCUGGGAGUCGUGCCCAGCUGGUCACAAGAGCCGUGCUGGCUGCUGGCUGCACGCACGAUCCAUCUGCCCAACAGACACCUAUGGGGCACCCUGAGGUGCAGUGUAUGAAGCCAAUUUACCAAAUUCUGUGACAGGUUACCCUAGAGAUCCUUUCAACCUGAAGUUAAAACCACAGCAUUUAAACAUGGAUGCUGAACUUGAACCACUGAAAGGAAAGCAAAAGGACUCUGACAGAUUAGUUACAUACAAGCCUCCUGAAAGCAAGUGGCAUCCACAGCUGCUACUGUCAAAGAGUCCCUGGCCACUUAAAUCUACUUUAUUACUAGUUAGUCAAAUUAAAAGACAACUUCUUGCUUUUCUCUGCAUCAAAAUAGUUUGAAAUGACAAUAACAAUAACAACAAUAAUUUCAGAAUAUUUUGAAUCAUGCAGUCUUGAGAGGAUAUCUGGCAUAUCCUAAAGGAAAUGUCACUGUACUAGAGAUCUAGGGACAUGGACCAUUCAUUUUCUUUAGCUUUUCAAGAGUGUGAUACUUUCUCUAGCUCUUGUUGAGGGCUUUGAUAGAGUUGGAAAGAUAGUCUGUUGUAGAACAUUUUCUUAUUUCAGCCUUUAGCAGAAAAUUACACAGUAUUGCAUAUGGUAAUUCAUUUUUAGGAAUCAAGAUGUCCAUAUUAGACUGUUCAAAGACAGAGAGUAUUUCAGAAUAAACAGAUGCUGGAUGGAUGUUUUUAUGGUUUAUAUAUAUACACCAAAGUCUUAAAUGUAGAGAUCUCCAAACUAGAACGUCUUUGCUUAUAAAACAGCUCCAAUUUACAUUACUGAAGAUUAACAAAUAGAGCAUUGAGGGGAAAAUAACCCAUAUAUGACUGUAAAUACCAGCAUGGAGCAGAAACACACUGAAUGUCCUUUGGUAUAUUAGUGAGUAUUUGACCUCUUUCCCUUAGGCCCCAAUUUCUGAAAUAGCAUGGAAAUGAAUAUCAUUAUGUCUUUCUACUUAACAAAGUCCUCUCUAAUUCCCCUCACCAUUGCUAAAAUUACUUACCAACACUUCCAAAUCACUCAACAGCCCCUAAAUUAUCUGGAGAUAAAAGAAAAGGCACAGCCCAUCAAGCUCCUGGUAACUACAGAUGCUGAGUGCCAUCAUGAGCUUACUUUGAAACUGCCUGUCCUCUGCACCCAGGAGCUGGGGAUCAGCAGACAGCUGAUGCCAAAAUAAAACCUCAAACAUUUCCUCUUCCUUGAAUUGACACAUCUGCUUUGCUCUUGAUUCUGAUUACUUGGAAUGGACUGCUGAAAGCUCCACACAGUCAGGUGGUUUCAAUUCCUUUUCUAAGCAGUGUGUGUGGAUGUUGAGUGCAACAGGGGGAAGCACUUUUUAGUCAUAGUCUGCAUUGCUGAGGGCUUUAGAGGUGUAUCCAGAGCCAUAUUUGGACACAAAUCUCUAGACUUAAACUGUGUGUAAGCUGCAUGGUAAAUGCAUCCCAGGAAGUGAUUUAGCAUAGAAAAUUGUAUAUUGAAUAAUUUUGCCUUUUCCAAAGACAGUGAGCUAUCUACCACUAUGGAAAGUUAGGGACAGUACUAAGAAUCCUUGAUGUGAGGAUCUUCUGUCUCUGUGUGCACUGUUGUGGAGGUUGGCAUUUCUCCAGGAUUUCCCAGAUGCAGCAAUUGAAAAUAAAAAUUGUGCAAGAUGUUGACAAUAAAAAAGUGCAUAUAUUUUGUUCAAGAGAGCUUCCUGUCAAUUGCAACAAAUCUUCAGACACUGUUUGAAGUUUGUGGUUCCCCAAAUUUCAGUUUGGAAAGGCUAAAGUCCCCAGUCUGCCUGUAAAUUACUCAUUUCCUGAAUGCCACACAAACUCAGCCCAGUAAAAGGUGAUUUCUGUGUGCAUGGCAAAUGAAAGACGCAGGACACAUUAAAGGUUAGAAUCUGGAGCUCUUGUUACAGCUUGGCAGACAUAAUCAUAAGAUAAUAGCAUUGCAUCUAUACUAAUCACAGAUUAUGAUAGAGUUUUAGCUGGACCUCCUCAUAGUGAUAGGAGUGACAGUAUAAUCAAAUGGCACACAUGGAAAUCCUUCAAGGGAAUGAUACUGACCUGGUCUUUUGACAGAUGGAGAAAAGGAGGCACAGAACAGGUAAAUUAAUUGCCCCCAAAGCCUGAGGGGAGAAUCAAUUUCAGACAAACUCUUGAAAGUAAAUUUGAUCUCUUGUAACACAUGUGAAGGCAUUUCUAAUGCUCCUGAGGAAAAGAGGAAUGAACUUGUCUUUAACCUCUGUGCACAACACCUCACCUUUAAAAAUGUGGGUGUCUUCAUUAUGACCAACAAAAUGAAGGUAGCCCCUUGUGCUAGUCUGCAGUGGAGAGUGAGACACAUGGACAUGUUACAGACACUCAUUUCUUGGCUUAGGCAACUAUACUCUUUCACUUAGAAGAGUCAAGAGAAAAACACAGAUUUGCUCUGCAGUGAGGAGAGUACAAUUGCUGGAGACCUUGGGGUACGAAGGUUUUAAGGAAACAAAGGUACCUAUAGUAAAUCUAUGUAUGGAUAGUCCUCUUUACUCACAAAUAUACAAUAUGAAAUAUCCUAAGAAUAUAAACCGAGAGUUUUUUGAAAAUGCUGACUUGUUUUGUUUACCUGCUUUGUUUUUGCUAAAUACCUUUACCAUAUGUGAUAUAUAUGUAAGACAAAGCCAGCUAUUCCUGUUAAGAACACUGUGAAGAAGUAUAAAGUUUUUUUUUUUCUUCCAACAGCACAUCCUUGCAAGAAAGCAGCUUUAAGAGCAUUACUGCUAUUGGCAGGACAGAUAUCUUGCUUCCAAAUUCCUACAGGGGUGUGACACUCAGCUGUGGCUGUUGUGAAAGGCAGUUGCAGUGCUGUUAUCCAGCUGUGCAGACAGAAGCCCCCAUUACCCACCCAGGCUUACCAAUACAGUGCAGUGGCUUGAUCAGAAAAUGCUGAUGGUGCUGCUUUACAACAUGGAGACUGAGAGGCUCUCCAGAGAGCAGUUCUGCUUGCUCUGCAGUGUUGGCUUGUUGUAGGGCAGCUGCAUCCAGCAGAGGCCAGGACUGCAGUGUCACUGGCAUUCUACUGUGUCUCUGCGUCAUUGCCCAUUGCACUGUUUUAGAGGUACACAUGGAAGAAGUGCAGCACCUGAGCAGAGGGCUCUGACAACUCUUCACGUUAGCCUCAGAUUAGCAUCAACUUGUGCCCCUGCUACACACUCAGAUUCAGAAUCCAGAGGGGCCUGAGACUGCCCUGCAGAGAUGUUUGCUGUUCAGGCUGAUCUCCAUCUACUCUGACACAGUUUGCAAAGCUCUUAAACUUCAGAGGAAGUGGAGUGUGGUUUUUUUUUUAUCAAGGGCUGGCUAAAGUGAUGUUCUCAUGCCUCAGCAGUUAGGGAUACAGGCAAAAUCUCUUCAUUCUUUUUACUUUUGCAUGUUCAUUGUGGGGGUGCAAAUGGACUCUAAGUGCUGCUGACAGCUAUGUCAGCCUUUGGGCACACAGUCAACUUCACUGUGAACACCUCUUAGCCCAGUAUAGGAGAAAGGCACAGUAGCCAUUACCAAAAAUGUCACUGAUCUAGAAUCUGCUCCAGUCAGUCAGUAUUUUUCUAUUAACUUCAGUGUACUUUGAAACAGGCUUAAUGGAGGUGAAUUCUUUUGUUUUGGGCAGCACUAUGAGAUUGUUCCUUUAGAAACUGCUUUAUGAAAACCUCUACAGCUCAUGUAGAUAUAGAGAGAAUGUGGAUACUUUCUCAAGUCCUGAAAGGAAGAAGCAGGUUUACAGGUUAACUGUAAAUACUGUGUUUUCAUAAAUGACCAGAAGGAGCAAGUGUUGCACAAAAGUUCAGAUCUGUUACCCACACAUAGUGACUCUAUAAAGACAGAUCGGGAGAUUCUGUAAGUUAUUAAUGCAAGUAUUUUGCAUAUGUAUAGAACUUACCCUAUAUAUCUUUAUUAUAAAACAAAUUUUAUAAUAAAAGAUUUCAUGGUCUCUGCUCAGGACCUCUGCCAUCCCCCAUAUACUUCACAUCAAUGUUAUUUCUAAAACUGUUGUACUUCGGGUUAGAUUUAGCCAUGUCCACUGUGAUUUCUGGAACUCAUGAAUGAUUACCAUGCAGGCUAGAGUCAGUGUUUGAAUUACACACAGGACUUUAAGAAAAGACUGGAUGGUCUCACUUAGGGUCAUGGACUAGUUUACAAGGUGGUGUUAGGUCAUAGGCUGGACUUGAUGAUCUAAAAAGCUCUUUUCCAGUCUAGUUGAUUCUGUGAUCCUGUGAUUCCUAAUUCUAAUCUAAGAUCUGUCAAUACUUCUGUAACUUUGAUUACAUUCUUUGCCAUGAAUUUUUGCCCUAGUUUAACUAAAACUUUUCUACAUCCUUCCUCCAUGUAAAAACCCAUACAUUUGAAAAUGUUAUCACACACACCCAGAGUAUUCAAGUGGUCAUCAAAUUUUAAGUAUUGUUGAAAGUGUUUGUUGUUGAAAGUGAAUAUCUUUGUCACAAUGACCCUUUGAAAUACCAAAUGUUAGGCCUUUCCUGUGGAACAAAAUCAUAAAAAAGACACAAAAUAAUCAACAGUAUACAAAAAAAUCUAACAUUUAAAGUUUUAUUUAUUAAAAUCUUUAUGAGACCUGAUUUACAAAAGAUGGUAAAGAUAGAGGGUUGGUUUGCAAUUAAAAAAAAAAUCUUGUAUUGAUGGCAAUUAAAAUUAAUAUACUGGAAAAAAUGGAAAAAAUAAUUUUCUGCUGGAUAC